UCUUUGGGACAAAUUUAGGAUUAAUAUGGGGAUUGUUUUUGGAGGUAUUCACUUUACAUGGUGUUCAAGAUGGUUACUUCCGCCCACUCUGAAGAGUCUCGGCGUCUGAUUGGUCCAAUUUUCAGUUAGGCGCCGCCUGAUUGGCCGCUGGACGAUGUCUGCUCCUAACAGAGGGCUAAAUCACUAGUUAACUAUUUUCAUCAUGGAAGUUAUACAGCUCAUGUAUCACACUUAAUAUUGAAUAUAUAUAUAAAAAGGGUUUUCCAAAAGGACCAUUUAUAAUCGAAAUACACAACUUCACACACGAUUUUGAGCACAACAGAGCGCUCAGUGAACAUCACUUCCGGGACCUGCAUCACCAGAGGGGGACAUCUAUCUUGGCCACAAACCAUCUUUGACAGUCUUCGACAGCAUGGUUGAAUCAGGCGCAUCAACACAUGAUAUAGACAUCGUGCCCAAAAGAAGAGCGAGACGUAAUCCUGAGGCUGAAGCCACCGAGUUUAUUUGAUCUGGAUGUGACAAGUCUUGUUUUAAGGCCCAGUGGAUCAAUGAUUGGAAAGACACCAACUGUUGAUGUUCUAUCUCAACAUUCUCCAGAUUCAUGUGAGCGAUAAACCGACUUCAUCCCUCCAACAGACACCAACUGUUGGGGUUCUAUCUCAACAUUCUCCAGAUUCAGAUGUGAGCGAUAAACCGACUUCAUCCCUCCAACAGAAACCAACUGUUGAGGUUCCAUCUCAACAUUCUCCGGAUUCAGAUGUGAGCCAUUAACUGACUUCAUCCCUCCAACAGAAACCAACUGUUGGAGGUUCUAUCUCAACAUUCUCUAGAUUCAGAUGACAGCCAUAAACCAACUUCAUCCCUCCAACAGGUUAUUACAUGUCUAUUUUUACUAUAUCUGCUCUAAAUUUGACCCAACCUAUAUUUUGAAAGACAUUUAUUAAUUUUAAUCUCUCACAGAUCAGUUUACAUGACAACAUUUUCGUAAGGGUACAUCCAUGUUAGUCAGUAGGGAGUUUGGAACUCAUGUUUAGCAAAACAGGAGAUGUUACAAGUCAACAACAUAAAU